GUUUCCUACGGGGCGCAGCAGUGAGGAAUAUUGGUCAAUGGGCGGGAGCCUGAACCAGCCAAGCCGCGUGAAGGAAGAAGGCGCCAAGCGUCGUAAACUUCUUUUGUCGGGGAACAAAGGGCGCCACGUGUGGCGUUGUGAGUGUACCCGAAGAAAAAGCAUCGGCUAGCUCCGUGCCAGCAGCCGCGGUAAUACGGAGGAUGCGAGCGUUAUCCGGAUUUAUUGGGUUUAAAGGGUGCGUAGGCGGUCCGGAAAGUCAUCGGUAAAAGCCCUGGGCGCAACCCCGGCGAGCCGUUAAAACUGUC
rnacentral:rRNA from 1 species